CCUACGGGAGGCAGCAGUCGAGAAUCAUUCACAAUGGGGGAAACCCUGAUGGUGCGACGCCGCGUGGGGGAAUGAAGGUCUUCGGAUUGUAAACCCCUGUCAUGUGGGAGCAAAUUAAAAAGAUAGUACCACAAGAGGAAGAGACGGCUAACUCUGUGCCAGCAGCCGCGGUAAUACUGAGGUCUCAAGCGUUGUUCGGAAUCACUGGGCGUAAGGCGUGCGUAGGCUGUUUCGUAAGUCGUGUGUGAAAGGCGCGGGCUCAACCCGCGGACGGCACAUGAUACUGCGAGACUAGAGUAAUGGAGGGGGAACCGGAAUUCUCGGUGUAGCAGUGAAAUGCGUAGAUAUCGAGAGGAACACUCGUGGCGAAGGCGGGUUCCUGGACAUUAACUGACGCUGAGGCACGAAGGCCAGGGGAGCGAAAGGGAUUAGAUACCCCUGUAGUC
rnacentral:rRNA from 1 species